UACGGGGGGGCAAGCGUUGUUCGGAAUUACUGGGCGUAAAGGGUUCGUAGGCGGCCGGCUCAGUCGGAUGUGAAAUCCCUCGGCUUAACCGGGGAACGGCAUCCGAUACUGGUCGGCUUGAGUGCAGGAGAGGAAUGCGGAAUUCCAGGUGUAGCGGUGAAAUGCGUAGAUAUCUGGAGGAACACCGGUGGCGAAGGCGGCAUUCUGGACUGCAACUGACGCUGAGGAACGAAAGCCAGGGGAGCAAACGGG
rnacentral:misc_RNA from 1 species